GACGAACGCUGGCGGCGUGCUUAACACAUGCAAGUCGAGCGGGGAUUACGGAAGGAAGCCUUCGGGUGGAAUUAUGUAAUUCUAGCGGCGGACGGGUGAGUAACGCGUGAGCAAUCUAUCCCGGAGUGGGGGAUAACACAAUGAAAGUUGUGCUAAUACCGCAUGGGACCACGGCAUCACAUGGUGCUGAGGUGAAAGGAGCAAUUCGCUUCGGGGUGAGCUCGCGUCUGAUUAGCUAGUUGGUGAGGUAACGGCCCACCAAGGCAACGAUCAGUAGCCGGCCUGAGAGGGCGAUCGGCCACACUGGAACUGAGAGACGGUCCAGACUCCUACGGGAGGCAGCAGUGGGGAAUAUUGGGCAAUGGGGGAAACCCUGACCCAGCAACGCCGCGUGAGGGAAGAAGGCUUUCGGGUCGUAAACCUCUGUCCCAUGUGAAGAGGAGAAGACGGUAGCAUGGGAGGAAGCCCCGGCUAACUACGUGCCAGCAGCCGCGGUAAUAC
rnacentral:rRNA from 1 species